rnacentral:rRNA from 1 species
GGGGGGGGCAAGCGUUGUUCGGAAUUACUGGGCGUAAAGGGCUCGUAGGCGGCCAACUAAGUCAUACGUGAAAUCCCUCGGCUUAACCGGGGAACUGCGUCUGAUACUGGAUGGCUUGAGUUCGGGAGAGGGAUGCGGAAUUCCAGGUGUAGCGGUGAAAUGCGUAGAUAUCUGGAGGAACACCGGUGGCGAAGGCGGCAUCCUGGACCGAUACUGACGCUGAGGAGCGAAAGCCAGGGGAGCAAACGGGAUUAGAUACCCCGGUAGUCCUGGCCCUAAACGAUGAAUGCUUGGUGUGGCGGGUAUCGAUCCCUGCCGUGCCGAAGCUAACGCAUUAAGCAUUCCGCCUGGGGAGUACGGUCGCAAGGCUG